GGCAAUGUGACUUAAUGGUCUAGUGCUUGCCUAGCAUGCAUGAAGCCCUGGGUUUGAUUCCUCAGUGCCA
rnacentral:tRNA from 1 species